UACUGAGUUCCUUCCUUCUCUGUAGCCUGAGGAGAUGCUGGGUUUUCAUAGAGAGACCAAGGGUGGAAGAGAUAGAGGAUGUGUUUCCCUUCACAUGGAGGAGCUUGUGAGAGCCCAGCCCUACAGAAGCUGCUGUUCUGCUGCUAAAUCUCAGCCAGAGGACUAAGGCAACAAACCUACAAGGGGGUCUGCAUGCACAGAUCCUUGUUCCCAAUGGGACUCUGUGUGGCAGUUGGGCCCUCGUAGGAUUGGGCCCACAGUGAGAGACAGGGAGUGAUCAUCCAUGCCUCAGUGCUUGAGCCAAGCUGAAGACUUUCACACUUUACGUCCUGUUUCCUGCUUGACAGAGCCAUGUUCACAAGAGCGAAGAGACCUGAGAGCAGAAUGCCUUGUGCAAACUCUGGCCUGGAAGAUGUGAUUAAAGCCAACAGCCGAG